UUAAGAUGAGAUAUCCCCCGCAAAAGCGGGUAAGACCCCUUGAAGACGACAAGGUAGAUAGGGCAGGGGUGUAAGUGUGGCAACACAUGGAGCUGACUGUUACUAAUCGGUCGAGGGCUUGACCAAG
rnacentral:rRNA from 1 species